GGUUGUUUGGCCGAGCGGUCUAAGGCGCCUGAUUCAAGCUCAGGUAUCGCAAGAUGCGUGAGUUCGAAUCUCACAGCAACCA
rnacentral:tRNA from 2 species